GUGGGGAAUUUUGGACAAUGGGGGCAACCCUGAUCCAGCCAUCCCGCGUGUGCGAUGAAGGCCUUCGGGUUGUAAAGCACUUUUGGCAGGGAAGAAAAGUUUCGGGCUAAUACCCUGGAGCGAUGACGGUACCUGCAGAAUAAGCACCGGCUAACUACGUGCCAGCAGCCGCGGUAAUACGUAGGGUGCAAGCGUUAAUCGGAAUUACUGGGCGUAAAGCGUGCGCAGGCGGUUCGGAAAGAAAGAUGUGAAAUCCCAGGGCUUAACCUUGGAACUGCAUUUUUAACUGUCGAACUCGAGUAUGUCAGAGGGGGGUAGAAUUCCACGUGUAGCAGUGAAAUGCGUAGAGAUGUGGAGGAAUACCGAUGGCGAAGGCAGCCCCCUGGGCAUGCACUGACGCUCAUGCACGAAAGCGUGGGGAGCAAACAGGAUUAGAAACCCUAGUAGUCC
rnacentral:rRNA from 1 species